rnacentral:rRNA from 1 species
GAAUCUUCCACAAUGGACGAAAGUCUGAUGGAGCAAUGCCGCGUGAGCGAAGAAGGUUUUCGGAUCGUAAAGCUCUGUUGUAAGGGAAGAACACGUACGGGAGUAACUGCCCGUACCUUGACGGUACCUUAUUAGAAAGCCACGGCUCACUCAGGGCCCGCAGCCGCGGUAAUACGUAGGUGGCAAGCGUUGUCCGGAAUUAUUGGGCGUAAAGCGCGCGCAGGCGGCCUGUUAAGUCUGAUGUGAAAGCCCCCGGCUCAACCGGGGAAGGUCAUUGGAAACUGAUAGGCUUGAGUACAGAAGAGGAAAGCGGAAUUCCACGUGUAGCGGUGAAAUGCGUAGAGAUGUGGAGGAACACCAGUGGCGAAGGCGGCUUUCUGGUCUGUAACUGACGCUGAGGCGCGAAAGCGUGGGGAGCAAACAG